UACGUAGGGUGCAAGCGUUGUCCGGAAUUAUUGGGCGUAAAGAGCUCGUAGGCGGUUUGUCGCGUCUGCUGUGAAAACCCGAGGCUCAACCUCGGGCCUGCAGUGGGUACGGGCAGACUAGAGUGCGGUAGGGGAGACUGGAAUUCCUGGUGUAGCGGUGAAAUGCGCAGAUAUCAGGAGGAACACCGGUGGGCGAAGGCGGGGUCUCU
rnacentral:rRNA from 1 species